AUUGAACGCUGGCGGCAUGCUUUACACAUGCAAGUCGAGCGGCAGCGCGGGGGCAACCCUGGCGGCGAGCGGCGAACGGGUGAGUAAUGCAUCGGAACGUAUCCUGGAGUGGGGGAUAACCCAGCGAAAGUUGGGCUAAUACCGCAUGAGCUCUGAGGAGGAAAGCGGGGGACCGUAAGGCCUCGCGCUGCAGGAGCGGCCGAUGUCCGAUUAGCUAGUUGGUGGGGUAAAGGCCUACCAAGGCGACGAUCGGUAGCUGGUCUGAGAGGAUGAUCAGCCACACUGGGACUGAGACACGGCCCAGACUCCUACGGGAGGCAGCAGUGGGGAAUUUUGGACAAUGGGGGCAACCCUGAUCCAGCCAUGCCGCGUGAGUGAAGAAGGCCUUCGGGUUGUAAAGCUCUUUCGGACGGAACGAAAUGGUUACGGCCAAUACCCGUGACUGAUGACGGUACCGUAAGAAGAAGCACCGGCUAACUACGUGCCAGCAGCCGCAGUAAUAC
rnacentral:rRNA from 1 species